CGGAAUCUUGACCGUCAAAUUCAUCGAGCAUCUCAGUGCUGGGAUGUCGGUAGAUAAAGUUGACCCUUUGAAGAUCAAAUAUUACCGACUCAAGCUUGCAAUUGAGGGUUUAAGGGGGGAGGCAUAUUUAUGAGGUCGGUCUCAACCAAGGGUUGAUUGCAAUAUUCCAACCAAGAUGACCAUACACUGUUAUUUGAUUCUUUCCAGUCAGUGAACACAAAAUUUCUCGCCUAAUACUGUGGACUAGCAGAACAAGUCUUACGAGGCCAUACAUAAAUAGCCACAAGUUGUCAUACAUGUAUAUCAAAAGUGUGAAGUUGAAACCUACAGACGACAAGGGAAGAAGGAAGCUCUGUCCCAUACAGGUGAUUGAUGGAGUAAACAUGUUUAUGCCACCAUACCAAAUUGACUGCCCCUUGAAUUGCACUUGACG